rnacentral:rRNA from 1 species
UACGGGGGGAGCAAGCGUUGUUCGGAUUUACUGGGCGUAAAGGGCGCGUAGGCGGUCAGCACAAGUCAGUUGUGAAAUCUCCGGGCUUAACUCGGAAAGGUCAACUGAUACUGUGCGACUGGAGUGCAGAAGGGGCAACUGGAAUUCUCGGUGUAGCGGUGAAAUGCGUAGAUAUCGAGAGGAACACCUGCGGCGAAGGCGGGUUGCUGGGCUGACACUGACGCUGAUGCGCGAAAGCCAGGGGAGCGAACGGG